UUUUACAGGAAAAGGAAGCAGCUCAAGGGCAACAACAACAGCAAAAAUAAAAGUGUAAAAAAAAAAGCCCGCUAAUCGCUGCUCCAAAAAAGAUAAAAGCAGAGUGGCCACAAGAGAGGUCAGUUUCGGGUGGAGAGGCGUCUUGACACUGACUGAUACUUGCCUGCUGCCGAGCCUGCCGGGAGUAACCACUUUCAUGAAAAAAAUGGCAGAAGAAAUGGCGUAAGAGUGGAUGCUUAAAAGAAAUAACUUUCCCCAUACAAGGCAUUUAUUGGAGCCUCCUAAGGCGCGUGGAGGCACCGCGUCACACAAGGACACCGACACGUUCCACCUCGAUGUGUUCUGACAGGAUUCUUCUCACAGGAAGGAGUCAAGUUCGUAGUGUCUGUCCGGUCUUUGGAAACUAAUUAUCUUAUUUUCUUAUAUAACCGAAUGUUUUUAGCACACACGAUUUCUGGUAACACAUUCCUUUGAUCUCUUAAGUGUCUCUGGCAGGCUGAGUUCUCUCACACUAUUUCCAACGCCUGUUUUUAAAUGUAGUAUUAGAAAAACCCCGUUCACAUUGUGCCGACUCUGGACCACGACUACCCACGACUCUAGGGUACACGAGGUCUUGGGUGUUGAUGUGAAAGGGUCGGGCAUGUCUUGAAAGAGGUCUUGAGACUGCUGUGCCGACGUCGUGACGGGAGCCUGGAGUUGGUCGAAUGUCCCAGACAGUCGGCAAGACACCAAGACCCCAAUACAACCUUUCCCCUCUUCUUGGAGCGUGGGGACCAACUUGUCAAAUGGAAAAGUCGCUGGGUUGUCGUGGCCCAGAGUCGGCACAAUGUGAACGGGGCUUUAAGUAACAAUUAUGUGGCUGAUUUGUCUCUUUUUACCCGUUUUUCGAGGCGUGGUCAGUUGGUUUUGGUGACUGUCUUGCAUCACUUUCCACGACUGACUGUCAACUUUGUAACACGUCGAGUUGUCUGUGAAAUCCAACACUGCAAGUUAACUCCGCCCCCAAAACGUGGCUGAUUUGUCUCUUUUUACCCGUUUUUCGAGGCGUGGUUUGUUGGUUUUGUUGGCUGUCUUGCAUCGCUUUCCACGACUGACUGUCAACUUUGUAACACGUCGAGUAGUCUGUGAAAUACAACACCGCUAAAUCCGCCCCCAAAAACGUGGCUGAUUUGUCUCUUUUUACCCGUUUUUCGAGGUGAGGUUAGUUGGUUUUGGUGACUGUCUUGCAUCGCUUUCCACGACUGACUGUCAACUUUGUAACACGUCGAGUAGUCUGUGAAAUACAACACCGCUAAAUCCGCCCCCAAAAACGUGGCUGAUUUGUCUCUUUUUACCCGUUUUUCGAGGCGUGGUUAGAUGGUUUUGGUGGCUGUCUUGCAUCGCUUUCCACGACUGACUGUCAACUUUGUAACACGUCGAGUUGUCUGUGAAAUCCAACACUGCAAGUUAACUCCGCCCCCAAAAAUGGAACUUCAAAAGCCAAACUAUAACCCCACACUUGUUGUUAAUACUAAUACGACGUUUACUGGAUCUGGCGUCAAUCUUUACUAAUAUAUACUGUUUGUUGUGGCUUCUUGAAGGUGUAAGUACAAGCAAUUCAUCACUGGUAACUUUUUUUUCUCUCUCUUCCUUCGACGCUAUACAAGAUGAUUAUGGUGUGUCUUUUUAUUCUUAUUUUUUGUGUUAAGUUGGUGUGUGUGUGUGUGUGUGUGUGUGUGUGUGUGUGUGUGUGUGUGUGUGUGUGUGUGUGUGUGUGUGUGUGUGUGUGUAGGUUCAGUAAGGGAAUGGAAAGAUGAGGAGAGAAAAGGGAACUGGGAGAGGAAUGAAGAAAAGAGAAGAAGAAGGAGGAGGAGGAGGAGGAAGAGGAAGAGGAAAGAGAGGACCGAGGUAAAAGAUUGAGUAAGGAAAAGAAGGAGAGAGGGAGAAAGAAGGGGUAGAAGGAAGAGGAAUAGAAAGGAAAAAAAGAGUGAAAGAAGAAAAUGAAGGAAAAGGAGGAAGAAAGAGAAAAUAGAGGAAGAUGAAGAUGGAGGGAG